rnacentral:lncRNA from 1 species
UACUUAAAAAAAAAAAAAAAAAACAUUGGCCAGGAUUGUGUGUGUGUGUGUGUGUGUGUGUGUCUCUGUGUGUGUGUGUGUGUGUGUGUGUGUCUCUGUGUGUGUGUGUGUGUGUGUGUGUGUCUCUGUGUGUGUGUCUCUGUGUGUGUGUGUGUGUCUGUCUGUUUUUGACCCCCCCCAAAAAAUUACAAUCACUUCACCAGGAUUGUCUGUCUGUCUGUCUGUCUGUCUGUCUGUCUGUCUGUCUGUCUGUCUCUGUUUUUGACCCCCCCAAAAAAUACAAUCACUUCACCAGGAUUGUCUGUCUGUCUGUCUGUCUGUCUGUCUGUCUGUCUGUCUGUCUGUCUGUCUCUGUUUUUGACCCCCCCAAAAAAUACAAUCACUUCACCAGGAUUGUCUGUCUGUCUGUCUGUCUGUCUGUCUGUCUGUCUGUCUGUCUGUCUGUCUCUGUUUUUGACCCCCCCCCAAAAAAUACAAUCACUUCACCAGGAUUGUCUGUCUGUCUGUCUGUCUGUCUGUCUGUCUGUCUUUGAAUUUUUACCCACAGCCCUCAAACUUGGAAGAGUGGGUUCGGGAACCACCCGCGGGCACCCGGCCUAGAGUGCACAGUGUGUGUCUCGGGCCCCGACCUCUGACUUCCAUACGACUCUGGUUUCUCUUCAUUACGCACAAGCACUUUCGCCUUUUACUAAAGACUUCCGUGGAGAGGAACACUUACGAGUUCAACAUAUUUUUGGAAGGGCUUUGCUUCUGGCAGAGCCCGGUAUCUUGUUUCAAGAGAAAUUGACAGAGAUGACGCCGAGACUUUUGCUCAGGCGUUUGACUUGAAGCCGGCUGACCGACCGACCGACCGACCGACCGACCGACCGGCGUAUUUUUC